GACGAACGCUGGCGGCGUGCUUAACACAUGCAAGUCGAACGGAAAGGCCCUGCUUUUGUGGGGUGCUCGAGUGGCGAACGUGUGAGUAACACGUGAGUAACCUUCCCUUGACUUUGGGAUAACUUCAGGAAACUGGGGCUAAUACCUGAUAGGAGCUCCUGCUGCAUGGUGGGGGUUGGAAAGUUUCGGCGGUUGGGGAUGGACUCGCGGCUUAUCAGCUUGUUGGUGGGGUAGUGGCUUACCAAGGCUUUGACGGGUAGCCGGCCUGAGAGGGUGACCGGCCACAUUGGGACUGAGAUACGGCCCAGACUCCUACGGGAGGCAGCAGGGGGGAAUAUUGCACAAUGGGCGGAAGCCUGAUGCAGAAACGCCGCGUGCGGGAUGACGGCCUUCGGGUUGUAAACCGCUUUCGCCUGUGACGAAGCGUGAGUGACGGUAAUGGGUAAAGAAGCACCGGCUAACUACGUG
rnacentral:rRNA from 1 species